ACUAAAGCUUGACGCCCCGGUCCUGGGGCGCAUACUCAACACGUGCACGUCGUGGGCUUGGAAGCGGGUGGAACUCCCGCGCGGUCGCGCCACUGUAACCGAUGAACGCCCACCGGCGUAUUGGAAGUCAGACCCGGCCACGGCAUCGCGAAACUU
rnacentral:ncRNA from 2 species